rnacentral:rRNA from 1 species
AACUGCGAAUGGCUCAUUAAAUCAGUUAUCGUUUAUUUGAUAGUACCUUACUACUUGGAUACCCGUGGUAAUUCUAGAGCUAAUACAUGCAAAAAACCCCGACUUCGGGAGGGGUGUAUUUAUUAGAUAAAAAACCAAUGCCCUUCGGGGCUCCUUGGUGAUUCAUGAUAACUUAACGGAUCGCAUGGCCUUGCGCCGGCGACGGUUCAUUCAAAUUUCUGCCCUAUCAACUUUCGAUGGUAAGGUAUUGGCUUACCAUGGUUUCAACGGGUAACGGAUUUUUAGGGAAAGAUCCCGGAGAGGGAGCCUGAGAAACGGCUACCACAUCCAAGGAAGGCAGCAGGCGCGCAAAUUACCCAAUCCCGACACGGGGAGGUAGUGACAAUAAAUACUGAUACAGGGCUCUUUUGGGUCUUGUAAUCGGAAUGAGUACAAUUUAAAUACCUUAACGAGGAACAAUUGGAGGGCAAGUCUGGUGCCAGCAGCCGCGGUAAUUCCAGCUCCAAUAGCGUAUAUUAAAGUUGUUGCAGUUAAAAAGCUCGUAGUUGAACCUUGGGCCUGGCUGGCCGGUCCGCCUCACCGCGUGUACUGGUCCGGCCGGGCCUUUCCUUCUGGAGAACCGCAUGCCCUUCACUGGGUGUGCCGGGGAACCAGGACUUUUACUUUGAGAAAAUUAGAGUGUUCAAAGCAGGCCUUUGCUCGAAUACGUUAGCAUGGAAUAAUAGAAUAGGACGUGCGGUCCUAUUUUGUUGGUUUCUAGAACCGCCGUAAUGAUUAAUAGGGAUAGUCGGGGGCGUCAGUAUUCAAUUGUCAGAGGUGAAAUUCUUGGAUCUAUUGAAGACUAACUACUGCGAAAGCAUUCGCCAAGGAUGUUUUCAUUAAUCAGUGAACGAAAGUUAGGGGAUCGAAGACGAUCAGAUACCGUCGUAGU